rnacentral:rRNA from 1 species
AGAGUUUGAUCCCGGCUCAGGAUUAACGCUGGCGGCGUGCUUUAUGCAUGCAAGUCGAACUGUCUUUAGCAAUAAAGACAGUGGCAAACGGGUGAGUAACACAUAAGUAACUUGCCCCCAAGUAAGGAAUAACUCUGGGAAACUAGAGCUAAUGCUGUAUGUGGUGGCGGGGGUAAUGCCCCGCUAUUAAAGCCGCAAGGCGCUUGGGGAGGGGCUUAUGUCUGAUUAGCUAGUUGGUGAGGUAAUGGCCCACCAAGGCGAUGAUCAGUAGCUGGUCUGAGAGGACGAUCAGCCACACUGGGACUGAGACACGGCCCAGACUCCUACGGGAGGCAGCAGCAGGGAAUAUUGCGCAAUGGGCGAAAGCCUGACGCAGCGACGCCGCGUGGAGGAUGAAGACCUUCGGGUUGUAAACUCCUUUUCUCAGGGAAGAACUCUGACGGUACCUGAGGAAUAAGUCACGGCUAACUACGUGCCAGCAGCCGCGGUAAUACGUAGGUGGCAAGCGUUAUCCGGAUUCAUUGGGCGUAAAGCGGGUGCAGGCGGCUCGGUAAGUCGGAUGUGAAAUCUCUUGGCUUAACUGAGAGGGGUCAUCCGAUACUGCCGGGCUUGAGGACAGUAGAGGGAGAUGGAAUUCCCGGUGUAGUGGUGAAAUACGUAGAUAUCGGGAGGAACACCAGUGGCGAAAGCGGUCUCCUAGGCUGUCCCUGACGCUUAGAUCCGAAAGCGUGGGGAGCGAACAGAAUUAGAUACUCUGGUAGUCCACGCUGUAAACGAUGAACACUAGUCAUGGGGAGUAUCGACCCUUCCCGUGCCGAAGCUAACGCGUUAAGUGUUCCGCCUGGGGAGUACGGUCGCAAGACUAAAACUCAAAGGAAUUGACGGGGGCCCGCACAAGCAGCGGAGCGUGUGGUUUAAUUCGAUCAACACGAAGAACCUUACCAGGGCUUGACAUGACAGACGUAGUGAACCGAAAGGGGAGCCACCCGUUAAAUCGGGAGCUGCCACAAGUGCUGCAUGGCUGUCGUCAGCUCGUGCCGUGAGGUGUUGGGUUAAGUCCCGCAACGAGCGCAACCCUCAUUGCCAGUUGAUUUCUCUGGCGAGACUGCCCCGCAAAACGGGGAGGAAGGUGGGGAUGACGUCAAGUCAGCAUGGCCUUUAUGCCCUGGGCUACACACACGCUACAAUGGACGGUACAAUUGGUCGCAAUAGCGCAAGCUGGAGCUAAUCCGAAAAACCGUUCUCAGUUCGGAUUGCAGGCUGAAACCCGCCUGCAUGAAGUUGGAGUUGCUAGUAAUCGCAGGUCAGCAUACUGCGGUGAAUACGUUCUCGGGCCUUGUACACACCGCCCGUCACGUCAUGAAAGUCGGUAACACCUGAAGUCGGUGGGCUAACCCGCAAGGGGGGCAGCCGCCUAGGGUGGGGCUGAUAAUUGGGACGAAGUCGUAACAAGGUA